rnacentral:rRNA from 1 species
AACGAACGCUGGCGGCAGGCUUAACACAUGCAAGUCGAGCGCCCCGCAAGGGGAGCGGCAGACGGGUGAGUAACGCGUGGGAACGUACCCUUUGCUACGGAAUAGCUCCGGGAAACUGGAAUUAAUACCGUAUGUGCCCUACGGGGGAAAGCUUUAUCGGCAAAGGAUCGGCCAGCGUUGGAUUAGCUAGUUGGUGGGGUAAAGGGCUACCAAGGCGACGAUCCAUAGCUGGUCUGAGAGGAUGAUCAGCCACAUUGGGACUGAGACACGGCCCAAACUCCUACGGGAGGCAGCAGUGGGGAAUAUUGGACAAUGGGCGCAAGCCUGAUCCAGCCAUGCCGCGUGAGUGAUGAAGGUCUUAGGAUUGUAAAGCUCUUUCACCGAUGAAGAUAAUGACGGUAGUCGGAGAAGAAGCCCCGGCUAACUUCGUGCCAGCAGCCGCGGUAAUAC